GGACAUACAAGUAGCCAGAGGACCGGAGAGACCAAUACUCUUCAAUUUGAACCGUUGUCAUUGACUUUUAAAUGAUACAUUAGAAUUAUAUAUGUGUAUGUAUAUAUAUAGACACUUUCUCCUGAUCUAGUACUUCACAAUAUUGUCUAUGCAAAUCAAUGUCAAAUGACACAAAUACUAUUUUGAGUACAAACAUUAGAACUUUCUUUUCGCUGAAUAAUUUGUCAAAUUUGGCAGACAUUAAAUAUUAGUAAAUAAUUUCUACAUGGUAUGAAAAGUCAUUGAAAGAAAAAAAGAUAAUACAGAACUUUUUCCAUAGGAAUGCGCAGGACUGGUAAGUAAACUGCAGCCCAGUUCAGUCAAAAAGCUGCAAACUGGAGAUAGCUUAUGCAAAAUAAGGAAAAAACUGUUCAAGGGGGAAAGAAAUGAAAAGAAAGACAGGAUUAAAAAUUCUAAUGGAUUAGAAAUUCAGCUCUUCCCUCAUAGUACAUGAAAAGUUUAACAUAAAAACUAAAGCCUCUAUUAGAAGCAAGAUAAUGGUGCAUAUCAAUCACCGAGACUCUUUUAACACCCUUCCUUGCAUGCUAGGCCCAGUUGAUUAGAAAUGAUCCAAAGCCCAUCAAUCAGCAUUAUCACAAACUAUCAAGUCUUAGAUAUUGCCAUCAUAUGGCCAUCAUAGAUGGUUAGAGUGAAGUAUUCAAAUCUAGCCUUUCAUCCAAUUAUACAUGGUAAAGCAAAACAUUUUAUACAGAAGACGGCAUAAGAUGGCUCGUGUCAUCUGAUACAAAAAACAACAAAUAAGAUUGUGACCUUUACAUACAAACUUUUUCAUGUAGUUCUCUAAUCCUAAACCCCUAAUGAACGGAUAUGUACUUUUGCAAAAACACAGUACUAGCCAGUUCAUAACAUCCUGAUUUACUAGAGGAAUUAAUAACUGAAAGACAGUUUUCUCAAAGAGUUAGUUUCGUAUGGAUCAGACAUACACUUACAGAAUGUUGCUUGUACAUGGUCCAAAGCACUUCAAUUCCAACUUGCAGUCGAUUGUAACCAAUAUAUGAUCACACAUUUAUUUGCACUUCAACUACCACAGGACAUGCACCCUUCUUUAUUCUUCAUCGAGCAUAGCACUUGUGCCAAAUCGCUAUUGACAUCACUGUUUGUCCUAUUGACAUUUUCAUGGUUGAGAACAGAUGUAUCAACUGUGAACUUGAUUGCAUCAGCUGCAGCACGAGUUCUGAGAUAGUACAUUCCUGUUUUCAGGCCCUUAGACCAAGCAUAGAAAUGCAAUGAAGUUAGUUUCCCAAGAUCAGGUUGCUCCAUGUGAAUAUUCAGACUUUGACUCUGGUCUAUGUAGCAACCCCGGUUAACAGCCAUAUCAACCAGUGUCUUUUGCUUGAUUUCCCACACUGUCCUGACAUUAUGUUGUCCUACUCCAUCAGCUUGAUAAUAAGAAACGAUAAAUAAGAAACAAAAACAUACAAGGAAAAUGCAUACUUGUAGAUAGCUUUCAGCUGCUCAGGAAUUUCAGGAAUUUUUGCAAUAGAACCAUUCUCAUUAAUUAUCUUGUUUUUAAGAGAAUGUGACCAAAGACCAAUCUCUGUUAAGUCAUGGAGUAGGUGUUUGUUCACCACAACAAAUUCACCACUGAAAAUGAGGGAAAUUAGAUGGCAGCAGAUACACUUCAAAGGCGCUGAGUUAAUAUAUAAAAGCAAACCUUAAAACUCUGCGGCUAUAGAUAUUGGAAGUAUAAGGCUCAAAACACUCAUUGUUGCCAAGAAUCUGGCUUGUUGAAGCAGUUGGCAUUGGUGCUACAAGAAGGGAAUUCCUUACGCCAUUCUUUAAGAUCAUUUCCCUAAGAGCAUCCCAAUCCCAUCUUUCUGAUGGCAUCACACCCCACAUGUCCAUUUGGAGAAUUCCCUUGCUCAGAGGGCUUCCACGAUACGUCUCAUAUGGACCAUCUUUCGCUGCCAACUCAGAAGAAGAUUUCAAUGCGUAGUAGUAUAUAGUUUCAAAUAUAUCUCUGUUUAGCUGUUGGGCCUCUGGUGAAUCAAAUGGCAUGCCAAGCAGGAUAAAAGUAUCGGCAAGACCCUGAACUCCAAUACCAAUUGGCCUGUGUCUUAAAUUCGAUCUUCUUGCAGUUUCAAUGGGAUAGUAACUAAUAUCAAUUAUCUUGUUAAGAUUUGCAGUAAUUGUAGCAGUAACCUAUCAUAUCAAUAAAAUUCACAUAAGUCCAAGUUUAUCAGGUAUAACAAUUAAAAUUUUUGAAGUUAGAUAGCAGAUACAAUUCUACCUUCAAUGGAUGUCUAGCUAAGUAUAUAGGUAAUACAACGUGUUUUCAACUAUAACUUUAGAUUAAAAUAAUCUAUCAGUGCACCAAAUAUACUUGCUUGCCACUCCAAGCAAAAUCUAAACUUCAUUAUAGAGAUUUUCAACAUUCCAACUGUGGCAAACCUCUGCUAGUUUUGCAAAAUCAAAAUAUCUGCUCUUUGAAUCUGUACUGCCAACCAGCUUGGAUGAGUGAGACUCAAUUGGCACCCCCUACAACAACCAAGCAAUGACUGAUGAACAGUCAUAUCAAAGGUAGAUUAAAGUAAGCUAUGCAUUGAUUAAGAUUCCAAAAUGUCACCCUUUCCCUGACAAAUCGUGGUAGAGCAAUGGAUGCCAGAUUGCAAACGGCAGUUUCUGUGGGACUUGUGAACUCAAUAAUCUCAGUGCACAAGUUUGAGGACCUUAUAGUACCCAGAUUCUUCUGGUUGCUCUUCCUAUUGCAAGAAUCCUUAUAAAGCAUGUAAGGAGUUCCAGUUUCAAUCUGGGAAUUUAAAAUCUCAAACCAAAGUUUCCUAGCUGAUAUAACCUUCUUUGCCCUACCCUCAUUUUCAUAAUUAAUGUACAAAUUUUCAAAUUUUUCUCCCCAACAAUCAGCCAAACCGGGAGCUUCAUUGGGGCAAAACAAAGACCAGCUGCCAUCACCUCGGACUCUUUCCAUAAAGAGAUCAGGAAUCCAGAGAGCAUAGAAUAAAUCUCUUGCUCGAUGUUCUUCCUUUCCAUGAUUUUUCCUAAGAUCUAGAAACUCAAAGAUAUCUGCAUGCCAUGGCUCCAAAUAUAUGGCAAAAGCACCUUUCCUCUUACCUCCACCUUGAUCAGCGUAGCGCGCAGUGUCAUUAAACACUCUAAGCAUAGGAAUAAUGCCAUUGGAACUCCCAUUUAUCCCACGAAUGUAACUGCCUGCAGCACGAAUAUUAUGCACAGAAAGACCAAUUCCUCCAGCUAGCUUGCUAAUAACAGCACACUCCUUCAAAGUA
rnacentral:misc_RNA from 1 species